rnacentral:rRNA from 1 species
GACGAACGCUGGCGGCGUGCUUAACACAUGCAAGUCGAACGGAAAGGCCCUGCUUUUGUGGGGUGCUCGAGUGGCGAACGGGUGAGUAACACGCGAGUAACCUGCCCUUGACUUUGGGAUAACUUCAGGAAACUGGGGCUAAUACCGGAUAGGAGCUCCUGCUGCAUGGUGGGGGUUGGAAAGUUUCGGCGGUUGGGGAUGGACUCGCGGCUUAUCAGCUUGUUGGUGGGGUAGUGGCUUACCAAGGCUUUGACGGGUAGCCGGCCUGAGAGGGUGACCGGCCACAUUGGGACUGAGAUACGGCCCAGACUCCUACGGGAGGCAGCAGUGGGGAAUAUUGCACAAUGGGCGGAAGCCUGAUGCAGCAACGCCGCGUGCGGGAUGACGGCCUUCGGGUUGUAAACCGCUUUCGCCUGUGACGAAGCGUGAGUGACGGUAAUGGGUAAAGAAGCACCGGCUAACUACGU